CUGUUGAGGAGGACGCAGGGCUCAGAGUUUGCACAUAAGUGAAACAGAAAAUCAAGUACCGACAUAACACUAAACGCAAGUGAUACAGGAACAAUGCAGUAAUGGAGAGACACCCCACCAAGACCCUGCAAGCACAGAAACUGAAUAACACAACGUCAGAAAGUUUAUAUUGUAAACUAAAAAUACCCUGGGGGUGAUUUCAAAGCUAUAAUUUGACUCACUGGUCACAUUACAGCCAUAAAUCGCUACCGCUCCAUCCUUGUGGUUUGUGAGAUCAUCUAAACUUCUCAGAUUUGCGUUUUCAUAGAUGGAUUUCCUAAAAGAGUGAAAAUGGACCAAGGAAAAUAAGUGCCUUGCAGGCUGUUUGGACAAGAUCUUGAAAGAAUUUUACAAUGUGAAGAUGUCAAGGAAAGACAAUUAACUGUCAAAUUGAACUUUUCACACUUGGCAUCAGAGGCUUCGUGAAGAACUCCCGAAUUCCUGAGAUUAAAGCCUUGAUUAUCUUGGGGCCUCCCAUGUGUGGAAAGAUGAUUGGAUGGAUCAAUUCAGGAAUAUGAUUGGGCAAUCAAACUGUGAACUCUGAUUCAGUAGAAUGGCUACACCUUGUUAUUUUGUCAUCAUGUGUCCAAAAUUUGGGGUGUAAAAGAACUAAACAAACGUUAAGAGGUUGGACACCGUGGGACAUUGUUAGACAUAGUGGACACUGUGAGAUACUGGAUCCCAUAGGCUUUAUGGGUUUGUGGCUAAACAAUUAGCCAAAGGA